AAAAAAAAGGGUUGGGGUUAGGGGUAGGGCUCCAGAUAACAUCUGGGAGGCAUAAGCCUACGGAAAGUGCAGCAGAAAAUAAACCGCCAGCCCUUGAAAACGUUUCGGGGCUGGUAAGUAAAUGGUGCGGUAAGAGCGCACCGCGUGACUGGUAACAGGAGCGGCAUGGUAAACCCUACCUGGAGCAAGAUCAAAUAGAGGAGCAGACGCGCGGCCCGCGCGGCUCCUGGGUAGAUCGCUUGAGCCAUAAGGUGACUUAUGGCCUAGAUGAAUGACUGUCCAAGACAAAACCCGGCUUAUCGACCAACUCUAACU
rnacentral:RNase_P_RNA from 1 species